GUUUACCCUUUCCCCAUGUCUAGGUAUAAGUGGUGAUGGGUUGAAGUCAAUGAUAAUGGUAAUAGUCACCUUGUUUGUAGUUUAUCUAAGUAAGCAAUUAAUAUCUGAUAUCAAAGGAAACUCUCUGGAGGUGAGGAAAAUUUUAAGAACAGUUUUCAUAUUUCUAGAAAGAAGACCCUGGAAUAUAUGGCCCAUCUCUUGGCUUUGGACAGUCUUGACCUGGGUGUGAUACCUGGAAGAGCUGCACCAUCUUGUUCUCAGCAAAGAAUGAGGCCAACACAGACAAUAGAGAUGACGGUGGUGAAUUUAAUUCACAAACUAUUGAAUCCACAAACCUAACACUGGUAUUAUUUCUGGACUUUAUUUUCUAAAAUAACAAAUUUCUUUAUUGUUAAAAUUUUCUCUUACUUAUAGCUCAAUGAAUCUUUGCUAAUUUUUGUCUGUCAAAAUAUCCCAAGAUGUUAAAAACAGUUGCCCAAUCUCAUCUAAAAAACCUAAAUCGCAUCUUGAAUCAUUUCUUGUGAUGGAAAAUGCUAUUGUCAUAUGUAGUAUGAAGGUGAAGUCUGAUCUCUCACACAUUGAAGGUGAAGUCUGAUCUCUCAUAGUUCAAGGGGCAGAAUAGCUGGUGAUGGGUGCACCUGAGGACAUUUAAGCAUUCUAAAGAUCUGACUACUCACUCACAUGAUUACUUGAGAAAUGUUCUGGGCCUAAUGUGUCUCCAUCUGAGUAUCGUUCUCUAAUUUAAUAAAACUCUCAGUAAGAAAGAGAAAAUGAGGUCAACAAAAUGGUACACCCGUUGGAAUGCUUGCCUGGUACUAAUGUGGACUGAGCUUACCAGGAUGACCUCCCUACAUUAAAAAUACACCCAUAAAAUGACAUUGAGGGUGCACCAUCAGGUUUAAUGAUGAGGAUGACUUCAUGUGCCUCAUAAACUCAAUUAAUUAUGUUAUUCUACUUCUAAAAUAUAGUGGGGUUAAGGAAUGGGUCAGGAAAGCUCUAGUAAUAUACCAGAGGCCAGAGGUUCAAAAGUUCAGGCAAAAACAAAGCAAUAUGUUUUUCUUUAAGGAUGAGAAAAAAUACCAUGUCAAGAUGGAUUCAAAUAAACACACCAAAAAUCAUCUAUUAAUAUUAAAAAAAAAUGAGGACUACAUAGAAUGUAGUGGUAUGGGGUAGAAGAAAAACAUUUGCAUGUUCCAGAGAUGCAAGAGAAACUGGAGACAGUUCAUCUACAUAAAAUAUGACCCUUCAAGUACUGCCAAGGUCAAUGAGACCCAGUGCAAUCAGCUAGAUCUAAAAAUUGGGUUUGUUCGUUUUUUUUCUUAAUUGCCCUAGUUCCUCCCUUUCUUGUAUAUCUGCCACUUUUUUUGCUCACUAACGAUCCCUCCAGAUCCACCUCCUUAGGACAUGUUUUAUAAUUGUUCCAGAAGAUAAAUGCCACACAGUGAAAACUAGAGGAGAGAGAGCAUUGAAACCAUCGAUGAUCCCUGAUAUCUGGACCAGUACGUUUUCUGAGUUCCUCAUCCUUAAUGAGACCCCACAACCUUUGUUUCUUCAUGGCUUUACUUUCAGGGAUGGUAGGAUAGAACAGAUGCCUGUUUAGCUCAACUCUUCUGAGUCAUUUGUUGUAAAUGAGUCAAAUGUUCCCCUUACCAACUCUUGUCUUUCCAUUAUUUCUCUUACUUUGAGAAUUUUUUUUUGCAAGCUGUCGUCUUUCCACAGGUGAGAUGUUCACACCAAAGAAAGUUCAAUGACAGGUUACGGAGUAUAUGGUUUUGACUAAUGUUUAAAAUUAUAUGUUCCAGGUUGAGAAAGUAAAAUCUUAAGUCUUUUCAUGGAUUAAUAGAUUUAAAAAUCUACUGGCAAAUAUUAAAGUAGAAUAAGAUCCAAAUCAUCUCUUGAAACCUUGAAACAAUAAUUAUAAUUGUUCCCUGGGUAUGCAAUUGACAAUACAGUACAACUUCCAGAAAUAAUGAUGCUUUUUUUUUUAAGGAAAAAAAAAAAAAAAACACCCCAGGUUGUCAUGGAAACAGAAAUAGAGUAAUAAAAAACUUUUUAUAUAUUUUAAUUUAAAAAAGAGCAGUUUCAUGUCAGAAACAUAUGAGCAUGAACUUUAGUUUCAGAUGUCCAAAAUUACAAAAGGAAUAUUUAUAAAAAGAUAAAGAAGCACUAUUGUAGUAUUCCUAUAAUACAGAGAAUGUUACAGUUUAAGUUGUACAAGUAUUCUCGGCUUAAUUCCAAUUUAUCUCAUUUAUCCCUCGGUUUAUAAUUUUCUGAAAAACAAGUUAUUUUUUUCCUGAAAACUUUCCAUGCUAUGACUCCAGGGGUCACUUAUUUACAUUUUGGAAAAAAUCUUCGUAACAUCUGUUUAAGGGCUUUGGCUUUUAGGAAAGCAUGAAAUGGGGGAAGCACAAAAUAAUACACUUGGUCUAAAAAAAUCAUUUCUUUUU
rnacentral:lncRNA from 1 species